CUCCCUCCUCCCCUCCCUGCCUCCCUCCUCCCAUCUCUGUCUCCCUCUUCCCCUCCCUGCUUCCCUCCUCCCCACCUUCCCUCCCUCUUCCCCUCCUUCCCUCCCUCUUCCCCUCCUUCCCUCCCUCUUCCCCUCCUUCCCUCCCUCUUCCCCUCCUUCCCUCCCUCCUCAAGCACAACACAUCCACAUCGGCCCCCAGCCCAGCGCAGCUUUAAGAGACCCACUUACCUCAGAGGAACCCAAUCAAUCCCCACAAACACCUCUCUAGAAUAGGAAGAUGGAGAUACAGAGAUCCAGCACUUGUGUGAAGAGUAAGUUCAAGUUUCUGCAGGAUUGUUAGCGCAAAACCGAAGAACUGGCAGCCUCCCUGGGAGAGGAGAACAUUGGUGAUAAUGUCCAAUCAGAGAAUGGAGAUCAUGUUGAAACUAGGCAAAAGGAUCCUAGAGGAAACUGAAGGGUUUUGUAGGGAAG
rnacentral:lncRNA from 1 species